rnacentral:rRNA from 1 species
UACGUAGGGUGCGAGCGUUGUCCGGAAUUACUGGGCGUAAAGAGCUCGUAGGCGGCUUGUCACGUCGGGUGUGAAAGCCCGGGGCUUAACUCCGGGUCUGCAUUCGAUACGGGCAGGCUAGAGUUCGGUAGGGGAGACGUGGAAUUCCUGGUGUAGCGGUGGAAAUGACGCAGAUAUCAGGAGGAACACCGGUGGCGAAGGCGGGUCUCUGGGCCGAUACUGACGCUGAGGAGCGAAAGCGUGGGGAGCGAACAGG